CACAGAUGCUGGCCCAACCCACAGCCUCGCUUGCCGGGGCCUGGUGUCAUGCGCUGGGUGGCCGGCGGUGUGCCCGCAGGCCUAUCUGUCACCCCCGUGUGCCCGGAGAGGGUCCCCACGCCCGAUGCCUCCUCCGCGACCCCCUCAGCCAGAUUGGGGAGCACGACUCAGGGACGGACCCCAGAGGGGAAGUCAAGGUUCCCCUUCCCUCUGCUGGGUGACCCCAGAUUAGCCUUGGGCCUCAGUUUCCCCCUGUGAGGAUAAGGGGUCUGAGCAGACAAAUGACUUUCAACUUAUUUUAGCAACAGGAAUCUGUUUGCCCACAAACCACCACCUAGUGUGAAAAGAAAAUUAAAAUGGCAGAAAGACAGCUGGCUCUGCAGAAGCAACACUUGGCCAUCCUGUGGCCUCCCCACAGGAGGCCCCCGGAGCACCCCAAUACCUGGAAGUCUUUGGACACGGCCGGGGAGCCAUUUUGGGGCUAAGCCUGUGAGUGCCCCCAGCGCUUUGCCUUGAGCCCCUGGCGGCACAUGACCACACCGAGGGCACAGCAGCCCUGCCUGAGAGCCAGCCUCGUGCACCAGGCCGGCGUGCGGAACCAACCAGCUCAGCUCUCCGGGGCCCAGGGCUGGCUGCAGGCGGUGUGGCCGACUCCAGAGGCCCGACUCCGACCUCUGAGAUGCACAGUGCAUCUUCUGAGCCAGUGCUCCAGCCUCCGUGGACACGGCCCACUGCAGCUAGCGUCUACAAGAUGAGGGUAUGCCGCCUCCCUGGGGGCAGCUGUAGGCAAGUGCACUUGUGGUCGAGACCAAUUCCUGCCAGGAAUCUUCCAGAUGAGCCAGAUUUACAGUUGGAAGGAACCGGACAAAUGCCUGUGGGACAGGAAUCUGCCAGGCGAGCGGUGGCCGUGGCCCCAGCUGUGACAACCCGCCCCUGCCCCAGAGACGCACGAAGGGAUAAGUCAAUAACAGGCCGUGCCGAUGCCGCACUGCCUCCCGAUCGGCCGGCCGGCCAGCCGGCGAGUGCGUCCACAAUACCUCGCAUUCAUUACGCUCCUUGAAAACGGUGUGCCGUGUCUGGAAAACAGGAAGUGGCCGUAAGUCUCCGUGUAAAAGCCAUCUGAAGCCCGUGGACCAGGCAUGUUCUCAAUCAGGAAGCAGGCAGUAAAUAAACAUUUGCAUCCCUCGGCCGCGCA
rnacentral:lncRNA from 1 species